UUUCUUACAAAUGAUUUAUUCCAACGAAGCCUUAAGCCUUAAUAAAGCAUUAAUUAUACCAUUUUCUGCAUGAUUCUUCAGUGCAUAUCUAGGAUCUUUCAAAACGCAGAAAAGAUGGAGUAUCAGAUUCAAUCUCCUUUAUUCUUUUUCAUGAAGGGUCGUCAUUUUUGUUUGUUUCUUCAUUUGAUUAAUCAAAUUAGUACUACUUUAUUUCUUGAAGCCUUAUCCAUGCAAAGACAAUCUAAAUAAUGCCGUGAAGAAAGCUGGUUAUCUGCAAGUGAAUAACUAUAUACUGAAACACAAAAUUCAUGUGUCUUCUACCAAACUGCUACGCCAUUUUUUUAAGUAGGAGAUUGGGGAUUCAAAUCUAGCUCUGCUAGGUACGUAUAUGUCUUCACCCACUAAAUCAUGCCAGGCUAGGUCUAUGAAACAAAUUUACAUAAAAUAUAUGAUACAUGAUAUUAAUCCUUUCUUGGCUAUGUAAUACAAGAAGUUUCUUCGAGUAUCUGGAUAAAAUAUAUGAAACCCAUAAAUUUUUUUGACUUUCUGAUGGAAAGUUAUGUCUACAAUUGAGCUUAAAGUAAGAAAAUUGGAGAUUUUCAGAGAAGCAAAACAAGAAUACCUGAAACAAAGGCCUUGUGAAGUGGAGAUGAAGAAGCUAAUAAAUGCAAGCAGUUGAAGAGUAUGAGAAACAACACCACCAUCUGUUCAAUUCCCAUUUGGCUUCCCUACAACUGAAAAUAGAAUGGCUUCUCCAAAACCUCCUUUUUAGAGUCUUUUGUGUAUAUCUGUCUCCCUAUCAAAAUGGAUACCUAUAGCUAUAGGUGUCUUUGGGCAAG
rnacentral:misc_RNA from 1 species